rnacentral:rRNA from 1 species
GACGAACGCUGGCGGCGCGCUUAACACAUGCAAGUCGAGCGAUGAAAUUUCGACAGAUCCCUUCGGGGUGAAGAUGAAAUGGAUUAGCGGCGGACGGGUGAGUAACACGUGAGUAACCUGCCUUUGACAUUGGGAUAGCCUCGGGAAACUGGGAUUAAUACCAAAUGACACUAACUGAUCACAUGAUCAAUUAGUCAAAGAAAUUCGGUCAAAGAUGGACUCGCGGCUGAUUAGCUAGUUGGUGAGGUAAAGGCCCACCAAGGCGACGAUCAGUAGCCGGCGUGAGAGGGUGAUCGGCCACACUGGAACUGAGACACGGUCCAAACUCCUACGGGAGGCAGCAGUGGGGAAUAUUGCACAAUGGGGGAGACCCUGAUGCAGCGACGACGCGUGAGCGAAGAAGGCCUUCGGGUCGUAAAGCUCUUUUAUGAGGGAAGAUAAUGACGGUACCUCAAGAAAAAGCCCCGGCUAACUACGUG